AUUGAACGCUGGCGGCAGGCUUAACACAUGCAAGUCGAGCGGGGUGAAGUGCUUCGGUACUGAUCCUAGCGGCGGACGGGUGAGUAAUGCUUAGGAAUCUGCCAUUUAGUGGGGGACAACAUUCCGAAAGGAAUGCUAAUACCGCAUACGUCCUACGGGAGAAAGCAGGGGAUCUUCGGACCUUGCGCUAAUGAUGAGCCUAAGUCGGAUUAGCUAGUUGGUGGGGUAAAGGCCUACCAAGGCGACGAUCUGUAGCGGGUCUGAGAGGAUGAUCCGCCACACUGGGACUGAGACACGGCCCAGACUCCUACGGGAGGCAGCAGUGGGGAAUAUUGGACAAUGGGGGGAACCCUGAUCCAGCCAUGCCGCGUGUGUGAAGAAGGCCUUUUGGUUGUAAAGCACUUUAAGCGGGGAGGAGGCUCUUGAGGAUAAUACCCUUGAAGAGUGGACGUUACCCGCAGAAUAAGCACCGACUAACUCUGUGCCAGCAGCCGCGGUAAUAC
rnacentral:rRNA from 1 species